rnacentral:lncRNA from 1 species
CGCAGAGACCCCUCCAGUCUGUUAGUCUGUUAGUGGGGAAACCAGGGAUUUCCUACCAGAGACACAUGACUGCGGACCUAGACUCGAGGGUCUGCUGCUACCGCUGGUUCCCAGACUCCAGUCAAGUGACCUUCUCUUCCAGCCCCUGAGCGCCUCCCACCCCCACGCCACUGCCCAUGUGGUAAAUUGGUUGAGCACAGCCUCAUGUGGUGCACCAGAAAUCCCUACAUUUGGGAGGCUGAGAAAAGACGUGAGUUCAAUCCCAGAUUACGCCCUGUUAGUCAAUGGAAUACCUCAUAUUUAACUUGGCCGC